CCUACGGGUGGCUGCAGUGAGGAAUAUUGGUCAAUGGGCGCGAGCCUGAACCAGCCAAGUAGCGUGAAGGAUGACUGCCCUACGGGUUGUAAACUUCUUUUAUAAAGGAAUAAAGUGAGGCACGUGUGCCUUUUUGUAUGUACUUUAUGAAUAAGGAUCGGCUAACUCCGUGCCAGCAGCCGCGGUAAUACGGAGGAUCCGAGCGUUAUCCGGAUUUAUUGGGUUUAAAGGGUGCGUAGAUGGGUUGUUAAGUCAGUGGUGAAAGUUUGUGGCUCAACCGUAAAAUUGCAGUUGAUACUGGCAGCCUUGAGUACGGUUGAGGUAGGCGGAAUUCGUGGUGUAGCGGUGAAAUGCUUAGAUAUCACGAAGAACCCCGAUUGCGAAGGCAGCCUACUAAGCUACCACUGACGUUGAUGCUCGAAAGUGUGGGUAUCAAACAGGAUUAGAUACCCUAGUAGUC
rnacentral:rRNA from 1 species